rfam:Clostridium taeniosporum strain 1/k, complete genome.
AAAUGAUAAUGGCACACUUAUUGAAAAAUAAGGUCGCAAAGCUUAUGAGUCUAAAGGAAAGAUAUUUUUUCUAUGAUCGUCAGGUUACCAAA